UACGUAGGGUGCAAGCGUUAAUCGGAAUUACUGGGCGUAAAGCGUGCGCAGGCGGUUUUGUAAGUUUGUCGUGAAAUCCCCGGGCUCAACCUGGGAAUGGCGAUGAAGACUGCAAGGCUAGAAUCUGGCAGAGGGGGGUAGAAUUCCACGUGUAGCAGUGAAAUGCGUAGAGAUGUGGAGGAACACCUGUGGCGAAAGCGGCUCACUGGACCACAACUGACGCUGAGG
rnacentral:rRNA from 1 species